CCUCAACUAAACUACGCCGCUCCACCUUGCUGUCACCAGCCCCUUCUUUGCCCACCUCCUCCUCCUUCUGACACACAGAUCUAGUUGCAUCGGUCGCCGCGCAACAACCCUAGCCACGACGAGCUCCACCACCGUGCGGUCCGGGAGCCACGCCACAGCAGCGCACCCUCCGGCCACAGCCCUAUGCGCAGACGUACAUCGCCUCCCUCUGGCCCAGAACGCAAUCCGACGCCGCAGUCCGCGCCCAGCGAGGGGCGGCAGCAAACCUCGCCUUCUCCGUGCGAUGCUGCUGCCGCUGUAGGCGUCCCCACCCCCGUCCACUGCUCUCCCCCAUCUGCAGUGAUUUUGUUGGCGAAGGUGCCUAGUGAUUUGUUGGUGAAGCUGGCACACAGGCAAGUGAUUUCUCCAGUAUCUACUUAGCUUCUCUGUGUUCUCAGUUGCUGAUGCUUUGCUGUAUCAACUCUGGGUGGCUGGUGAUGGAAGCAUGCAAAUGAUAUCUACUUCUCUCAUCUUGCUUGGUCCAUUGGAGUACACAACUCUGAACCCCGUGCCGAUAGCUAUCCGUUUCAAUUAUUUUGGCAUAUCCAUGUGCAUCGUUGGUUACGACUCCAGCUCGCGCGCCCUCCGUGGAUCAGGCAUCAACGGUCGCAGUUCUGAGGAUGCCACCUCCUCUGGUGCUCUGCAUCCAUCUUCCCCACUAAGGUGUGCGCGGUGAGCUGGGCGCUAGUCAUGGAUGGGGAUGUUGCUAUCGCUAGGGGCCGCACCGUGGGGUCUCGUCUUUGGUAUAUCGAGCACCAGCUCCGAUAGCUGCACGUUCCACAGGCUACAGCAGCUCGGCAUGAUGCUGUGCGGCGCUUAGCUUCCCAUCACAGCCUCCCUCCCUGAGAAUCUCCAUCCUUUGCACUUCUCUCUUCGAGCACUUCAUACACCCCCCCCCUAUCGCACACCUUGGAAUGGUGCUUCUGCCUUUUACAGCCCCUAAGACUGCAGAUUUUAGGAUGCCAAGAUGCAGACUAUGUACAGUCGAACAGAGAAACAAGAUAUGUGCCAUGUAUAGAGAAGAAUGUGCAAACCUAUGUUUUUCCUAGGGACUAGAUGUACAUGUUGUGGUUUUUAAAAAAAACUGUGGAUGCAAAUUUGCUUUUUUCUAAAUGCAUUGUCUUUUUUAUGAACAUAUACAUGCAGUACCUAAAAGCAUUUUCUGAGACAGAUUUGCCUUUUGUUCCUAUAAUUCGUGCUCGUAUCUGGGCCUGGGCUCGCAAGCCACGAGGGCGGGAAAAUUUCCUGCUGCAAGCGCCAACAUACAGCCUUAAAUAGCAUCUUGCCAAAAAAAGAGAAUACAAUAAUGGUAUUCUUACCUAAAACGGCAAGGCCGUACCGUAAGACUAUAAUACGGCCGGCCGUAAGUUAGCCAAGUCCCUAAUGCCCUUGUUUUCUGUUUCGCUCUUUAUUCCAUUGGCAAAAACUUCUCCAAGUUACUUAUGCCUUUCACUAGUGGCGUAUUGACAAUCUUAAACUGCAUCCUGGUAUAUGAAACAGUUAAUUGAAAUGCUUUACAAUCUGUUUGUACUUGUAGCAUAUGGAAUUUAAUCGUGGUACAUCCAACGGCUCGUGUAUCUUAUGUAUCGAAAGACUUGUGUAUCAUAUGCAAUUUAAUCAUGGUAUAUGCAAAAGCUUAAUACCUGGUACAUUCAAACGCUUAAUACCCUGGCAAUUGGCUCCUGCAUAUUUAGUAUGUGUCCACUCCUUUACACAAAACUGCCAUCAUGGAAGUUUUAUGUCGCUUUCAUACCCAAUAUUUGCACUUCGCUUCUUACCACACCGUAUGCAUGUAUCUUUUAAUGCCUGAGUUUUAGUAAUAUCGCUCUCUAAACAGGUGAUGGAAAGCAAGCGGCUUAUAAAGUGCUUCCUGAAUUAUUUGAGACACGAUCGUACUGAAGUUGGUGCACUCUUUGAUAUGCUAUCAAUAUUCUUGUACCGCAAUUAUAUAGAUUAUAGCUUUCUCAAGGAAUUUUAUGUCAUAGAGGCAAUGCCAUUUCUUGUUUCUGACUUAUGAGAAUCUUUUUAUGUAUUUAUUGACUAUUUUACUUAUCAUCUGUACAUGUUCUUUUAGCUUGCUUAAGGAUACACUGCAAGUUUGAAGAAAACUAUCCUUAACCACUUUCUGAACAUUUUUCAGUCAAAACAAUACGGGCAAGAUCAUUUAGUUGUUACCAUGCAGAUUCUUAUACUUCCAAUGGUAGCUUAUUCUUUCCAAAAUUGACAGGGUUGGGAAGUUGUUAAUCCUUCUAUAAUUAUUAAAACUAUUGUUGCUGAUCCUCCAGAACAGGAACUCAUAAAAUUCGGUUGGAACCAUCUGAAGCGUGAAGAUAACUCCAUCAAACAGUGGACCUUUGUGAAUGUUUGUCACUUCUUAGUCCUAUCAAGAACCCGAAAAGAUUAUUUUACAGGUCUUCAUCACUCUGCUACGGACAUGCCAACCAGAGAAUAAGCUACUGGUGAAGCAAGCUCUCGCUAUUCUCAUGCCUGCCCUUCCGAGAAGACUUCCUCCUAGUGAUAGCCGCUUGCCGAUAUGGAUCAGAUACACCAAGAAAGUCCUUGUGGAGGAGGGGCAUUCAAUUCCAAACAUGAUUCACAUAUUCCAGCUUAUUGUUCGCCAUGCAGACCUUUUUUAUAGUUGCAGAGAGCAGAUGGUUACUCUCUAAGUCGUCUAGGAUUACCAUACAACACAACAGCGGAAAAUAGACGGCUUGCCAUUGAACUGGCUGGAUUGGUGGUCGCAGGGUAAAGACAGACACAAAGUGAGAUGAAAAUCGUGUAGGAAAGUGAGAUCCAGAAUCAAAUAAGGUGAUAUGCUUAAUCCUUCUGUUAUCGGUGGUGAUCCAAAACUCUCCUCUGAUAUUCCAUCAUUUGCUUGUGAUUUGAGUAAGAGGCUGAAAGUUGAGCCGGGCUUGCAACCUCUUUGUGUAAUGUCGCCGGGUGGGGCAUCCCCUAAAAUUGACACACUCGGAGCUUCAGGGCAACUUGAUGAGGAGUAUAAACCUAAUGCAUCAAUGGAGGAGAUGAUCAUUACUUUCCUGAAUAGAUUCAGUAAUAGAUGCAUUCAAGGAUUUUGGCCAAACAAAUCCUCAACUUCACCAUCUUGGUUACCGAGACAAGGCUUGGAAUGUGAAUAAGCUCGCUGACAUAGCUCACAAACAAGGUUUGUCUGUGUUGUCGUCAAGGUAACUAUUGAUUUCCUACUGUACCACUACAAGCAACUACUGUGGCCUAUAAUAGGCAAAAACUGAUUUUUGGCUGCUUCAUUUGGAAACUAUGGCGAAGAAUCUGAAGGCCUUAACAUAGUGUAGGAGUAUGUCAAAUCGCACUAGAUAUAGUGCAUCAGUAUCUAGAACUUGUUAAGACCUGAGUUUAAUUUUGUGCUUGGUUCUUGGGCCUUGCUAGGAGAUUAGCUAGAGCAAUUUUCAAGUGUGAGCCAAGGAGUGAUGUCAACACUUUGAAUAUCUCGAUUCUUGUUUUAAGUGUUGUCAUCUGGUGUUAAUACAAAUAAUCAAGGGCUGAUAUCCUGCUUCUGUUCU